rnacentral:rRNA from 1 species
AGGGAACCGCCUGAACUGAAACAUCUAAGUAGGGCGAGGAAGAGACAUCAAACGAGAUUCCGUAAGUAGUGGCGAGCGAACGCGGAAGAGGGCAAACCGGGAGUAGAAAUACUUCCGGGGUACGGACCGCAUUUAGGACUUGAGUUGUUAACCGAACGGCAUGGGAAGGCCGGUCAGAGAGUGUGAGAACCACGUAGGUGAAAACGACAAGAGCUGAGCGAGUUCCAGAGUACGGCCAGACACGUGAAACCUGGUCGGAAUACGGGGGGACCACCCUCCAACCCUAAAUACUACCCAGUGACCGAUAGCGUAUAGUACUGUGAAGGAAAGGUGAAAAGCACCCCGGGAGG